GGUUCAGUCUUGUCAGAGGAACCUGUCUUUUCAACGAUACACCACGAAAUAUCUUACUUGAGCUGAUAGAGUAUGUAUACCGUCAUUAUUAGGUAAUUUUUAUAGAAUAAAUUACUAAAAGACUAGCAGUGAAGCUAAAUAUAUUAGAUCAAGGUGCAGCUUAUGCUUAAGUUAAGAUGGGUUACAAUAAUAUUUAUUUAGUACGGAUAUACAGGUUAAAUUCUGUUUGGAAGGAGGAUUUGAUUGUAAAGUCAGUUUAAUAAGCUGUCUAGAUAUAAGCUCUGAAGCAUGUACAUAUCGCCCGUCGCUUCCAUUUAUAAAAUGAGAUAAGUCGUAACAUAGUAGAUGUAC
rnacentral:rRNA from 1 species